GCUAACGACGUCCCGGCAGCGCCGGUAUGACGGUGGGUGACAGCAGUAAGUGGAAUUACUGGGCGUAAGGCGAACGCAGUCGGUCUGUUAAGUCAGAUGUGAAAUCCCCGGGCUUAACCUGGGAACUGCAUUUGAAACUGGCAGGCGUGAGUCUCGUAGAGGGGGGUAGAAUUCCAGGUGUAGCGGUGAAAUGCGUAGAGAUCUGGAUGAAUACCGGUGGCGAAGGCGGCCCCCUGGACGAAGACUGACGCUCAGGUGCGAAAGCGUGGGGAGCAAACAGGAUUAGAUACCCUAGUAGUC
rnacentral:rRNA from 1 species